rnacentral:rRNA from 1 species
UACGGGGGGGGCAAGCGUUGUCCGGAAUUACUGGGCGUAAAGGGCUCGUAGGCGGCCAACUAAGUCAGACGUGAAAUCCCUCGGCUUAACCGGGGAACUGCGUCUGAUACUGGAUGGCUUGAGUGCAGGAGAGGAACGCGGAAUUCCAGGUGUAGCGGUGAAAUGCGUAGAUAUCUGGAGGAACACCGGUGGCGAAGGCGGCGUUCUGGACUGCAACUGACACUGAGGAACGAAAGCCAGGGGAGCAAACGGG